CUCGUCCGCCCGCCCGCGUCUCGCGUCAUCCGCUCCCCGUGAGAAACGCCCCUCCAUUCCACUCGCUUGCUCGCAUCGCCUCCUCCGCAUCCGAUCGCCCCUCGCCUCCGCGCCCCCUCGGCGCCCUGAUCGAUGCCAGAGCAUCGCCUAGCCGCUCCGAUCCCGGUGUUCGACACGAUGCAGCAGCCGAUGGAGAACGAGAGGCCAGCAGACCCCGGCCGGCCCGUCACCCCCUUCGAGCCCGGCGCCGCCGUCCCACGGCCUCCGGGGGUGUCCUCGCCGUUCACCGCCAGUGGACCGUUCUUGCAACCCGGCCUUCGCUGAUGAUCGCUGUUGCCUAAAAUAAGUGGCGGAUUGGGUACCAGACGUAGCAGCAAUGGAUCACUUGAGCAUGUGAAUCGGCUGGGAUGGGAUGCCAAGGUCUUCGCGCCGCCGGCGCAGGUGGGUGGCGGGGCGGGGCUGCCCUUCCCGUUUGAGUCCGUUGGGCACCACAACCGCCUUGGGCUCUUCCUCUUCACGCUCACCCGGUCAUGUGAGGAUUUUUUGGAGCCUCCACUGGAAGAACUUUUAAGGCAGCUGAAGGCACAAGGCGGUAGACGAUUUAGCUAAUGGUUGGCUCUGUGAGCAGCUGACAAGUACCCUGUCAGCACUGAACUCACCUGAUGAUUUGUUCAACUUUUUCGAUGAGCUACGAGGUGUGCUCACUGCACCAGAAGGUGCAAGUGUGGAGGACGUAUUUCUGGCUCCAAAUAGUCAACUUGGAGUUUUUCUUCGCUGCUGCAUACUUGCCUUCAAUUCAAUGACCUUUGAGGUGCUACAAGUAGUAGAAUGCAUUCACAACCAUUUGUAGUUCACGUUUUUGCCCCUCUUUAUUUUCUUAUUUAAGGCACCAAUGUGCUCACUGAAAAUGUUUUGUAUGGCGUGUGCCAUCUUUUGGCAAAUCUUAUGGUGUACUGUAACUCCGCUGAUGCUUCAUAUGACUUGGCAGAAGAUAAGGACUUCAACAGCGAAAUGAGCAACUUGAUGGAUGCAGAUAUAGGUGUAUAUUUGACAAUCUGGGACAAUCUAGGACCUUAGAAAGGGCUAUCCACGACCUGAAUUAGUAGUGAAUACUGAUACUAAGAAAUAGUAUCCGUUACGAGUAUUUUAUUUUGAUUCCAAACCUAACAAGUUUACCUCCUUACAUGUUACAACUUUGACAUCUGAUACAAGAGGACUGCAGGCUAGCACAAACAGAUUGCCUGCAAACUCCUGAUGCAUUUGAGUAAUUGCAUUUAGCUGGGUUACGAUUCUAGAUUCUUUUUUGUCACUUUUAGAUCCAUUGAUGUAUGCUAUAGCUUUUGCAUAUGUUUGAUGUCAUCU